GGGGCAGUAGUUCAGUGGAAGAACGUAAGUGUAUGUUGGACAAAGGGAGCCUACCCAGGACCGGAGGGUGACUUUUUAUUUUGGCAUGCGGAGCUUAAGACAGAGGUUCGAUUCCUUUCUGCCCCU
rnacentral:tRNA from 1 species